AAUACCUCCCAUGGGCUCUUCCUUCCUUCCUUUGAAAAGAUGUAGCUAGUGGGACUGGCAGAAUUCAAGCCUCAGUGAUCACUGGACAUCUUAUUUGCAGCUAUGAAUGAGAUACCCUUUCUUAUCCCUGCCCUGCAAAGGAUCCUACUAGGCCUCUCAGCUCAGACAACUAUAACACAAGAAUUAGAACUGAAAUUUUACUACUCUAGGGCAGUGAUGGUGAACCUUUUAGAGACCAAGUGCCCAAACUGCACCCUUACAGCAUGUGACCCCCUGCCUUACCCCAGAUAGCAGAGUGGUAGAAGCACUUCCAUCGGGCUGCUGGGAAGAAAGGAGGAAACUUCCUAUAGCAACACAACUCUACUAGCUCUUUUUCUAAGAGUCCUGGAGAACUGCCUGGGGCCCAGAGAGUGCCCAGAGGGUCAUAACCAGUAUGUGUCAGCAGCAGGACUGGAAACCAGGCCUUCCUACCUCAGAGUACAACACUCUAUCCACUCCACCAUGGAAACCUUUUUAUGUCCACCAUUAAAGAGGACAUAUUGACAGCUG
rnacentral:lncRNA from 1 species